rnacentral:rRNA from 1 species
CCAGACUCCUACGGGAGGCAGCAGUGGGGGAUAUUGCACAAUGGGGGAAACCCUGAUGCAGCGACGCCGCGUGAGUGAAGAAGUAUUUCGGUAUGUAAAGCUCUAUCAGCAGGGAAGAAAAAAGACGGUACCUGACUAAGAAGCCCCGGCUAACUACGUGCCAGCAGCCGCGGUAAUACGUAGGGGGCAAGCGUUAUCCGGAUUUACUGGGUGUAAAGGGAGCGUAGACGGCAAUACAAGUCGGAAGUGAAAUACCCGGGCUUAACCUGGGAACUGCUUUGGAAACUGUAUGGCUGGAGUGCUGGAGAGGUAAGCGGAAUUCCUAGUGUAGCGGUGAAAUGCGUAGAUAUUAGGAGGAACACCAGUGGCGAAGGCGGCUUGCUGGACAGUAACUGACGCUGAGGCGCGAAAGCGUGGGGAGCAAACAGGAUUAGAUACCCUCGUA